AUACGGAGGAUCCGAGCGUUAUCCGGAUUUAUUGGGUUUAAAGGGUGCGCAGGCGGGAGAUUAAGUCGGCGGUGAAAUUUUGCAGCUCAACUGUAAAAGUGCCUUCGAAACUGGUUUCCUUGAGUGUAGAUGAAGUAGGCGGAAUUUGUGGUGUAGCGGUGAAAUGCAUAGAUAUCACGAGGAACUCCGAUUGCGCAGGCAGCUUACUAAACCACUACUGACGCUGAGGCACGAAGGCGUGGGGAUCGAACAGGAUUAGAUACCCUGGUAGUCCACGCAGUAAACGAUGAUUACUGGCUGUUUGCGAUACAAUGUAAGCGGCUGAGCGAAAGCGUUAAGUAAUCCACCUGGGGAGUACGUUCGCAAGAAUGAAACUCAAAUGAAUUGACGGGG
rnacentral:rRNA from 1 species